rnacentral:rRNA from 1 species
GCUGGCGGCGUGCCUAACACAUGCAGUCGAACGAGAAAGUGGAGCAAUCCAUGAGUAAAGUGGCGACCGGGUGAGUAACACGUGACUAACCUACCCUGAAGUGGGGAAUAACCUCGGGAAACCGGGGCUAAUACCGCAUAACAUCGCGAGGGGAAGAUCCUUGUGAUCAAAGGAGCAAUUCGCUUUAGGAGGGGGUCGCGGCUGAUUAGCUAGUUGGUGAGGUAACGGCUCACCAAGGCAAAGAUCAGUAUCCGGCCUGAGAGGGCGCACGGACACACUGGAACUGAAACACGGUCCAGACUCCUACGGGAGGCAGCAGUGGGGAAUUUUGCGCAAUGGGGGAAACCCUGACGCAGCAACGCCGCGUGGAGGAUGAAGUCCCUUGGGAUGUAAACUCCUUUCGAUCGGGACGAUAAUGACGGUACCGGAAGAAGAAGCACCGGCUAACUCUGUGCCAGCAGCCGCGGUAAUACAGAGGGUGCAAGCGUUGUUCGGAAUUAUUGGGCGUAAAGGGCGCGUA